GCAAGACUGCAUUAACCCUCGGAAUAAGCGAGGAGCUUGGCACCAAGGUUCCAUUUUGCCCUAUGGUUGGCGCUGAAGUUUACUCCUCAGAAGUCAAGAAGACUGAGGUUCUCAUGGAAAAUUUUAGGCGGGCUAUUGGUCUGCGAAUCAAGGAAAACAAGUAAGUAUAUGAAGGAGAGGUCACUGAGCUCUCUCCGAAAGAAACCGAGAGUGUGACGGGUGGUUAUGGUAAAAGUAUUAGCCAUGUGAUUAUUGGGUUGAAGACGGUGAAAGGA